rnacentral:misc_RNA from 1 species
GCAAAAGCCUCUGGAUCAUCAGCUAGGCCCAAUGGAUCGAAGCUUCCACCGGGGUAGAGCGGGUCGGUGACCUCCCCGAGCGGUCCACCAGCAAUGCGGUAGCCCUCAACAGCACCCAUCAAGAUAACUUGGCAAGCCCAGAUGGCCAGAAUGCUUUGGGCAUGGAUCAAGCUAGGGUUGCCCAAGUAGUCAAGCCCACCCUCACUGAAGAUUUGGGCACCGGC